rnacentral:rRNA from 1 species
GACGAAGGGGGGCUAGCGUUGUUCGGAAUUACUGGGCGUAAAGCGCGUGUAGGCGGUUGCCAAAGUCGGGUGUGAAAGCCUUGAGCUCAACUCAAGAAUUGCACUCGAUACUUGGUGACUAGAGGACCGGAGAGGAUAGUGGAAUUCCCAGUGUAGUGGUGAAAUACGUAGAGAUUGGGAAGAACACCAGUGGCGAAAGGCGGCUAUCUGGACGGACAC